rnacentral:rRNA from 1 species
CUUACCAGGUCAAGACAUGGGCGUGAUUGACAGGCUAAUGACUUUUCUCGAUUCCAUGGAUGGUGGUGCAUGGUCGCACUUAGUUGGUGCAGUGAUUUGUCAGGUUUAUUCCGGUAACGAACGAGACCUCGGCCUUGUAAAUAGCUAUGCUGCUUACAGGGACAUUGGCGGCUACGCCAAGGAAGCUCGAGGCAAUUGCAGAUCUGGAAUGCCCUUAGAUGUCCUGGGUCGCACGCGUGCUACAAUGACGCCACGAACGAGCUUGCGUGAUGAAAGUUACGCAUAAUCAGCAGUCGGCGUCUUAAGGGAUAGUCUCUUGUAACUGUGGGACUCCAACUAGGAAUGUCUCGUAAGCACAAGUCAACAUCUUGUGUUGAUUACGUCCCUGCUCUUUGUACACACCGCCCGUCGCUCCUACCGAUCGAGUGUUUAGGUGAAUUUGAUGGACGUAAGGAAGUCAAAUAAACUUGAGCUCUAGAGGAAGGAGAAGUCAACCUGGC